rnacentral:misc_RNA from 1 species
GAUGAAGAACGUAGCGAAAUGCGAUAAGUAAUGCGAAUUGCAGAAUUCAGUGAGUCAUCGAAUCUUUGAACGCACAUUGCGCCCUGUGGUAUUCCGCAGGGCAUGCCUGUUCGAGCGUCAUUUCAACCCUCAAGCUCUGCUUGGUGUUGGGCCACGCCCUCGCGGCCGGCCCCAAAGCCAGUGGCGGCGCCGUCCGGCUCUAAGCGUAGUACAUCUCUCGCUCUAGGGCCCGGCGGCUGCCUGCCAGAACCCCAAACUCUUAUGGUUGACCUCGGAUCAGGUAGGGAUACCCGCUGAACUUAAGCAUAUCAAUAAGCGGAGA